rnacentral:rRNA from 1 species
UGAGUACGAGACACUACGGUGUCGAAGCAGUCUAUGUCAUACUUCCAAGAAAAGCUUGCACUGUCAUAAACAAAUAAUGCCUGUACCAUAACCGACACGGGUGGGUAGGUAGAGUAUACUAAGGGGCGCGAGAUAACUCUCUCUAAGGAACUCGGCAAAAUGACUCCGUAACUUCGGGAGAAGGAGUGCCUUAUAUUUUAUAAGGUUGCAAUAACAAGAUCCAAGCAACUGCUUACCAAAAACACAGGUCUCCGCUAAGUCGUAAGACGAUGUAUGGGGGCUGACGCCUGCCCAGUGCCAGAAGGUUAAAGAAGUUGGUUAGUAUUUGCGAAGCUGAUAACUGAAGCCCUGGUGAACGGCGGCCGUAACUAUAACGGUCCUAAGGUAGCGAAAUUCCUUGUCGGGUAAGUUCCGACCCGCACGAAAGGCGUAAUGAUUUGGAUACUGUCUCGGAGAGGGACUCGGUGAAAUAGACUUGUCUGUGAAGAUGCGGACUACUUGCACCAGGACAGAAAGACCCUAUGAAGCUUUACUGUAACUUGAAAUUGAAAUUGGACUUUACUUGCGCAGUAUAGGUGGGAGGCUUUGAGAAUAUUCUUGCGGGAAUAUUGGAGCCAUUAGUGAGAUACCACUCUGGUAAUGUUAGAUUUCUAACUUUGUAUCAUUAUCUGGUCAAAGAACAGUUUCAGGCGGGCAGUUUGACUGGGGCGGUCGCCUCCUAAACGGUAACGGAGGCGCACAAAGGUUUCCUCCGAACGGGUAGAAACCGUAUCUAGAGUGUAAAGGCAUAAGGAAGCUUGACUGUGAGACCUACAAGUCGAGCAGGGACGAAAGUCGGUCUUAGUGAUCUGACGGUGCUGAGUGGAAAGGCCGUCACUCAACGGAUAAAAGUUACUCUAGGAUAACAGGCUGAUCUCCCCCAAGAGUUCACAUCGACGGGGAGGUUUGGCACCUCGAUGUCGGCUCAUCGCAUCCUGGGGCGGUAGUACGUCCCAAGGGUUGGGCUGUUCGCCCAUGAAAGCGGUACGCGAGCUGGGUUCAGAACGUCGUGAGACAGUUCGGUCCAUAUCCGGUGUAAGCGUUAGAAUAUUGAGAGGAGCCUUCUUUAGUACGAGAGGACCGAGAAGGAUGCACCGCUGGUGUACCAGUUAUUGUGCCAACAGUAAACGCUGGGUAGCUAUGUGUGGAGUGGAUAACCGCUGAAAGCAUCUAAGUGGGAAGCCCACCUCAAGAUAAGUAUUCUUAUCACGUAAGUGAAUAAGGUCACGGUAAGACUAACCGUUUGAUAGGCAUUAAGUGUAAAUCUAGUAAUAGACGAGCUGAGAUGUACUAACAGACCGAAGAC